GAUGAACGCUGGCGGCGUGCCUAAUACAUGCAAGUCGAGCGAACAGACGAGGAGCUUGCUCCUCUGACGUUAGCGGCGGACGGGUGAGUAACACGUGGAUAACCUACCUAUAAGACUGGGAUAACUUCGGGAAACCGGAGCUGAUACCGGAUAAUAUAUUGAACCGCAUGGUUCAAUAGUGAAAGACGGUUUUGCUGUCACUUAUAGAUGGAUCCGCGCCGCAUUAGCUAGUUGGUAAGGUAACGGCUUACCAAGGCAACGAUGCGUAGCCGACCUGAGAGGGUGAUCGGCCACACUGGAACUGAGACACGGUCCAGACUCCUACGGGAGGCAGCAGUAGGGAAUCUUCCGCAAUGGGCGAAAGCCUGACGGAGCAACGCCGCGUGAGUGAUGAAGGUCUUCGGAUCGUAAAACUCUGUUAUUAGGGAAGAACAAAUGUGUAAGUAACUAUGCACGUCUUGGCGGUACCUAAUCAGAAAGCCACGGCUAACUACGUG
rnacentral:rRNA from 1 species